UAAUAUUUAAAUACUGAAUACUAUUAGUAACAUGUUACUAAUAGUAUUCAGUAUUUACAUGUUAACAAGGGAAGAAAGGCAGCAGUCUAGCUUAUUUUUCCAUUAUGUUCAGUUGUCAAUUUUGUGGCCACGAAUGUGUUACUAAAUAUGCCUUUGUAAGGCAUAUGAAAGUUCACCAAAACACCCCCCACAUCAAAUUUAAAUGUGCUUUUCAUGGUUGUAACCGUUCAUUUGGCAAAGUGUUGUCUUUAAAAUGGCAGGCAGAUGUGAGUAUAACUGAUGUAAGUCAACGUUAUUCCAGAUAAGCCUUUAAAAGUAUUUAAAUAUCUUUUAAAAUAAUUUUCUUAAAAGUGAAAUUGAUGGCAGCCAUAGUUAAAACAAUGCUAAAUUGUAUUAACAUGAACUUAUAACUGCAAUGAUAUUGUUGUCUCCUAUAAAGGUGUCAGACACAGCAGCAACUGUGAAGACAUCCCUUGCCCUCCCCGAUAGCCCUCGGUUGAUCAUUCUAGGUCCAAUGAUUCCUGACCAGCGUUGGAUGGUUAGCAUCGAGGGCCACGUGGUGUGCGAAGGAGCAACGUUUGUUUUGGGGCUUGCUGUUGUCUUCGCAUGCUACUACAACUUCAACCUCCAAUAUCAGGAUCUGGCUGCCUGCACACUUGAAUUCAUACAGAGAAGAUGUGUUGGGAUUAACCCAGAGAGAGGGACAAAGGCACGUCAGGGAAAGGUGACCAGCAAGAAGAGCGGGCGAAUGGUCCAAAAGAAAGCGACAUCCCUGAAUCCGCAUGUGUGCACCCUCUUGAGGAAGCUCGUGGACUUCGAGUGGGACUUUGUAUGAGUUUAUCACUACCCUGACUCUGUCCAUGGAGUUCAGAUGAGUACACAUACACACGCACGCACACAUGCACACACACACACACACACACACACACACACACACAAACACACCCACACAGACGCACACACCCACACCCACAUCCUUCUAUGUAUGGGUCUCACUUCUUCACAUUGUCCAUGGAGUUCAGAUGAGUACACAUAUACACACUCACUAAUCCUUCAUAUCUAUGGAUGUGUCUCACUCAUUCACAUUGCUAUUUGUAUUUGUAAGGGCUAUUUUUGUUUUAUUUGUAUCUAUUAUCUUAACAAUGUCCAACCAGACAUUAUUUCUGUUAAAUUUUGAAGUUAGCGCAAUAUUGUUCAACAGCAUAGAUCUGUCAAGUAAAAAACUCUAGCGUACUGGGGAGGCUCUUUCCUUUUGAAACAUAACACUAUUGUCAGUCUGUAAAGUACAAUGCACAACGUACAAAUACACACACAUAAAAAAAUUCAUUCACACCAGUAUUUAUAUGUGUAAUAGCUAUUUUGUGUUUUGGGCUAGCACACAGUAUUGUUCAAUAGUCAGUAUUGUUCUGUUAAGUAAAACCCCCUAGCGUAAUGAUAGAUAGAUAGAUAGAUAGAUAGAUAGAUAUAUACUUUAUUAAUCCCCAAGGGGAAAUUUGUCGUGACAGUAGCAGCAACACACAAGAGUAAAAACAAAACACAAAAUAUAAGAAACAGGGAUGAAAGAUAUAGAAUGGGGAGGCUCUUUUCUUUUGAAACAUUAGUAUUUACUCAGUUCAUCAAGUACACAUUUUGUCCGAUAACCAUGCACUAUAGGAAAAACACACUCACACAUGCAACUUAUCCAUACCAUUUUGAUUUCUAAGGGCUAGAAUAUUUGAAUCAGUUAUUUGGAUGCUAUUUUUUGUCAAGGCUAUUCUAAUAAACAAGAAUAUUAUGAAUAUGUCCUAUUGUCUUAUUUAUUGCAAAUUGUUCUUUUUCAUGCUUGUUAAUUUGACAGAUGCUUCCGCUACAGUUUCCUAAAUGUUUUGGGGUAAAGAGCUAACACUAAAAGUCCUGUUAUUUUACGAAUUCAUUUAGCAAAUUACUUUACAUUUUGAUUACAAGUUACUGUAUUUCCAUAUUACUGUACAUUUUACAGUAACUUACAGGCGAAACUGCUGUCAGUAAUUUACUGUAAUUUUGAAUUAUUACAGUAAAUUACAGUAUCAAAAGAAUACAGCAAGCUGCUGUAUUCUUUUGAUACAGUAGAGAUACUGUAAAACUACAGUAAAUUACUGGCAGCAGUUUCGCCUGUAAAUUACUGUAAUUUUACAGUGAAAAGUUUUACAGUCUAGGUCUCCUCUGGGC